UGCUGGAGGUAUCAGAAGUGCGAAUGCUGACAUGAGUAACGAUAAAGGGAGUGAAAAACUCCCUCGCCGGAAGAUCAAGGGUUCCUGUCCAACGUUAAUCGGGGCAGGGUAAGUCGACCCCUAAGGCGAGGCCGAAAGGCGUAGUCGAUGGGAAACGGGUUAAUAUUCCCGUACUUCUUAUAAUUGCGAUGGAGGGACGGAGAAGGCUAGGUGAGCCUGGCGACGGUUGUCCAGGUCCAAGUAUGUAGGCUGAUGGUUUAGGCAAAUCCGGACCAUCUUAAGGCUGAGAUACGAUGUCGAGCUACUACGGUAGUGAAGUCAUUGAUGCCAUGCUUCCGGGAAAAGCUUCUAAGCUUCAGAUUAUAAGAAAUCGUACCCCAAACCGACACAGGUGAUCAGGUAGAGAAUACCAAGGCGCUUGAGAGAACUCGGGUGAAGGAACUAGGCAAAAUGGUACCGUAACUUCGGGAGAAGGUACGCUCCUAGCGGUGAUGAGACUUGCUCUCUAAGCUGCCGGGAGUCGCAGAUACCAGGUGGCUGCAACUGUUUAUUAAAAACACAGCACUGUGCAAAAUCGAAAGAUGACGUAUACGGUGUGACGCCUGCCCGGUGCCGGAAGGUUAAUUGAUGGGGUUAGACUUCGGUCGAAGCUCUUGAUCGAAGCCCCGGUAAACGGCGGCCGUAACUAUAACGGUCCUAAGGUAGCGAAAUUCCUUGUCGGGUAAGUUCCGACCUGCACGAAUGGCGUAAUGAUGGCCACGCUGUCUCCACCCGAGACUCAGUGAAAUUGAAAUCGCAGUGAAGAUGCUGUGUACCCGCGGCUAGACGGAAAGACCCCGUGAACCUUUACUAUAGCUUGGCACUGAACAUUGACCCUACAUGUGUAGGAUAGGUGGGAGACGUUGAAGCAACCGCGCCAGUGGUUGUGGAGUCAAUCUUGAAAUACCACCCUUGUAUGCUUGAUGUUCUAACGUCGACCCCUUAUCGGGGUUACGGACAGUGGCCUGGUGGGUAGUUUGACUGGGGCGGUCUCCUCCCAAAGAGUAACGGAGGAGCACGAAGGUGGGCUAAUCACGGUCGGACAUCGUGAGGUUAGUGCAAUGGCAUAAGCCCGCUUGACUGCGAGAAUGACAAUUCGAGCAGGUGCGAAAGCAGGUCAUAGUGAUCCGGUGGUUCUGAAUGGAAGGGCCAUCGCUCAACGGAUAAAAGGUACUCCGGGGAUAACAGGCUGAUACCGCCCAAGAGUUCAUAUCGACGGCGGUGUUUGGCACCUCGAUGUCGGCUCAUCACAUCCUGGGGCUGAAGUCGGUCCCAAGGG
rnacentral:rRNA from 1 species